UGUUUGUUCGAGGUCUCGCAUGAUUUUAAAUAAUAGGUAGGUAUGGUUCAAACUAUAAAGUAAGCCCAAACCUAACCCACACAUUUACGAAUUAUUUGCUGUAGCCGAAUACACUCGUGUAAACCCAUACAUUAUUUGUUUUAUUUUACGGCUACAGUCUUACUCCAUGAUGCAAGGUGGAGUGUAGUCAUCUUGCUCCGGAGUGUAAUUAGAUAAGACCGUUACCACAAUCUAGUGUCUGCAUGGUUAAAGUCCGAUAAAAAUAAUUUAUUUUACAUAGUUUGUUUUGUGCCUAAUGAUUUUUUAUUCGAUUCGCGUUUUCAAUCGUUUUUGUUGAAUAUUUAAAAGGAAUCCAUUCUCAUCGCGACGAAGCCUUUCGCUUUUCAUAGAAAGUGACCAGGUUCAAUCAUAAAAUGACGAAAGAGUUUUCUUUACUUUUCUACCUGUUGGUAAUGGUGAAUUCGAAUUUGUGGCAAAACGAUACAACAAACCGAGAGAAACACCAGCUUAUGCCCCCAGUUUUAGAAUACGAACCAGAUAAUGAAGUUUACACCUAUUAUGUUGAUUCAACCAUAUUCCUCCCCUGUCUUGCCAAAGGGCAAGAAAGAUCACAGGAAAAAACGCCUUGGGUUUCUUGGUGGACUAAAAAUGGUGAAAAUAUUACUUCAAAGAACGUUUUGAUUGGUCAAUACUCCAAAACUGACCAUAAAUACGGCUUAAAAAUACCAAGCGCUCAGCGAUAUGAUGCUGGUCGUUAUCAAUGUUUUGUCUCGAAUGGAGUCGGUGUUACGAUGUCCAAUUUUGUUGAGGUCAGAUAUAUUGAAAUACCUCAAAAGAGUACUGAAAAACGGAGAGUAGGUGCCAUCGAAGGACAGCCAUUUAUUCUGAGCUGUGAACUUCCACAGGAGUUGGUGAACGAUGAAAACAGUUACUGGAUUCGAAAAGUAAGCACUAGAAAAUUCAUGUACCUGCUUAAUUCUUGUACAGUACACUUUGCCCACUUAAUGAUUUCGUUCAAGCUGAACGUGCAUAUCUAAUCUGCAAAUUGAUUAUCUGCAUAGGUACAAUUUCAUAUAUUAAAAAAAUUUGGCAUUAUUUUUUAAAACGAACAAAAAAAGG